GACGAACGCUGGCGGCGUGCUUAACACAUGCAAGUCGAACGGUGAAGCGAGUGCUUGCACUCGUGGAUCAGUGGCGAACGGGUGAGUAACACGUGAGUAACCUGCCCAUCACUCUGGGAUAAGCACUGGAAACGGUGUCUAAUACUGGAUACGACCAACCCUUGCAUGGGGUGUUGGUGGAAAGAUUUCUCGGUGAUGGAUGGACUCGCGGCCUAUCAGCUUGUUGGCGGGGUAAUGGCCCACCAAGGCGACGACGGGUAGCCGGCCUGAGAGGGUGACCGACCACACUGGGACUGAGACACGGCCCAGACUCCUACGGGAGGCAGCAGUGGGGAAUAUUGCACAAUGGGCGAAAGCCUGAUGCAGCGACGCCGCGUGAGGGAUGACGGCCUUCGGGUUGUAAACCUCUUUCAGUAGGGAAGAAGCGAAAGUGACGGUACCUGCAGAAGAAGCACCGGCUAACUACGUG
rnacentral:rRNA from 1 species